CGGAGGUGCAAGCGUUAAUCGGAAUUACUGGGCGUAAAGCGCACGCAGGCGGUCUGUUAAGUCAGAUGUGAAAUCCCCGGGCUUAACCUGGGAACUGCAUUUGAAACUGGCAGGCUUGAGUCUCGUAGAGGGGGUAGAAUUCCAGGUGUAGCGGUGAAAUGCGUAGAGAUCUGGAGGAAUACCGGUGGCGAAGGCGGCCCCCUGGACGAAGACUGACGCUCAGGUGCGAAAGCGUGGGGAGCAAACAGGAUU
rnacentral:rRNA from 1 species